AUUGAACGCUGGCGGCAUGCCUUACACAUGCAAGUCGAACGGCAGCGGGGGAGAAGCUUGCUUUUCCUGCCGGCGAGUGGCGAACGGGUGAGUAAUACAUCGGAACGUGCCCUGUAGUGGGGGAUAACUAGUCGAAAGAUUAGCUAAUACCGCAUACGACCUGAGGGUGAAAGGGGGGGACCGCAAGGCCUCAUGCUAUAGGAGCGGCCGAUGUCUGAUUAGCUAGUUGGUGGGGUAAAGGCCUACAAAGGCGACGAUCAGUAGCUGGCCUGAGAGGACGAUCAGCCACACUGGGACGGGGACACGGCCCAGACUCGUACGGGAGGCAGCAGUGGGGAAUUUUGGACAAUGGGCGAAAGCCUGAUCCAGCAAUGCCGCGUGUGUGAAGAAGGCCUUCGGGUUGUAAAGCACUUUUGUCCGGAAAGAAAUGGCUCUGGUUAAUACCUGGGGUCGAUGACGGUACCGGAAGAAUAAGGACCGGCUAACUACGUGCCAGCAGCCGCCGUAA
rnacentral:rRNA from 1 species